UUAAAGCUUGUAACAAGAUAUGUCAAUCAAUAUAAUGUAUCUUUCAUACUCAUUAACUGAUACAGAAGAUGCAAGCUAUCAAAAAUCGUCAGUUUUAAUCUUGUAAAACACCCAAAUUGCACAGCAAGAGAGGACCGCGAAUGCUUUUAGAAAUAGGAAUCCCUAUCGCUUUAUAGAACAGCCGGUUAACGCAUCCCACAUUGGAGAAAAGAGGAAAAGGACACGCUUUAUAAAGGAUUGGCUGGCAAUUAUGCUUGUCCCUUCGGGGACAUACGAUAAAAUUGGAACGAUACAGAGAAGAUUAGCAUGGCCCCUGCGCAAGGAUGACACGCAUAAAUCGAGAAAUGGUUCAAAUUUUUUUGGGCAAUCUUCUUCCUCCCUCCUGCGAAUCAAGCAAAAGGGACAGAACUCACCAUAGGCUUUUGGGGGCUGCUUCAGGGGAGCCAGCCCAGAGUUUUGGAAGAAGGGUUACCUAGGGACUAUUUUUAACUUUUGGCGUCAUGAAGAAUGCAUCUGAGUUGAUAUUUUUUUUGGCUCAAUCUGCUGCACCUAAACAAUAAGACAGAACUGCCACCUCAAUCUGGUCUGGAAAGACUAAGUUUGAAUGUUGGAAUAUUUGCCUUUGUUGUUGGGUUAGCAGAUGCGAUGGAAGUGAUGGUGAAGAAAUACCAGCAUAGGUUCAGGAAUGUGAGGGACGAGAUGGAACUUGUUGAUAUUCAAGAGGUGGUGUUGGUGAAGCAGAUGGAGUCUUUGCAAAAACUCUUGCUCUCCAUGAAAAAUACAUGUACUUUCCUUUUGUUUCUUCCUUCUUUCAUUCGAUUUCACAUUUUUACUUAAUUUGACUUUGGUGAAUAAUAAAUAAGUGCUUAUUUGCAUUUUAUUGUAUCAGCUCACUUUAUGGAAGAAAAGCCUAUCAUGACUAGUUUAUCAUAUUUUCUUAACCGAUCAAAAUAGCAAAUUAGACUUAUAAUUUCAGGGAAGAGUUUCACUGCAUUGUAAUGUCUCUUGGGAGGAUUCAUCGUGAUGGUAGGCACAUGAUAAAAGGUGGUUCUAGUCAGCUGAGUACAAAACAACUACACCAGCGAGUUGGUGUAAAACCCACUCUUGCAGAUUGCUUAGAUGGGCUUAUGCUUCUCCAGGACAUGCAUUGCUCUGAGCACAUUUUGAAGUCGUCAUUAGUUUCAGCUCUAUCAGCACUUACCUUUAAAGUGAGGUGUGUACGUGAAGUCAUUAUCUUGCUAUUCUGAUCUUUAUAAUUUUGUUAGGAACUUGAUCCUCUCAAAUUUGAGGGGAUUCUAAAGAUCAAUAAUUGGAGUAUGUUCUCCAACACGGUGUAUUGUCAUUCUUUAAGCUGUCAGCAGGACCAAUACCAACAGCUAUUGAUAUAGAGGUCCCCCUCAUGUUUGCAAGACUAAUACCUUCUGUUUAGUUUUUUGAGAGUUCCUCUUUCCUAACCCAUAUUGGUUCUAUUUAAAGUUAUUGUUACUGUAGAUGCAUGCGUAUGUCAUUAUCUAGCAUGGCUAUAUCAUCCUCUCUCUCUCUCUCUCUCUCUCUCUCUCUCUCUCUCUCUCUCUAUCUUCUUUUUAGUGUCCUUUUUUUCAUAUUCAACUUCGAUGUUUAUGCACUUAAUGUUUAUUAUGUCAUGUCUAUCGCAUUCUUAUCGUAGAUGAUCACCUUUUUCAGUACCAGUGAUUUGAGUUCGCUGCAGCAAAUCUUGAUUGAUCAGCCUAACAUUCCCAGGGAAGAAGUUCAAUUUGUCUUUGAUAUCAUAUUUGCACAAGAGAAUUGUUGAUCCUUUAUGUCACAUGGUUGCAAAACUUCCCUAGCUCUGGAAAUGGGAACUACUUUAAGAGUAGAACCUUUGGGUAUCAAAGAGUGAAGAGAUGACAUAGGGUUCUUGUAUUCUGGUACAGACGAAGACGAAGUGCACAAGAUGAAGACGAACAAUCAUCAAAAAUCAAAUUUACCUGUAAUAUCCAUUAAAGAGAUGGAGCAUGCAAGUAAAUUUUUUUUUUUUUUUUUUUUGGGUUAUAAGGGGCCUAAAAGGCAAAAACAAAGAGCAAAAGAAACAAAUUAACUAGAAGACCUAUCAGGUCUAUUACUGUACUUUCUAACUCUAGCAACAGAGGCCAUAUCAUCUAAAUAAGCUUGCAAGGCAUGAGAGGGAGGGUCUUCAAAUUCAACAGUUCCAUAGUCAUGGGUGAUGCUAUUGUUUACAAGACAAUCAGCAACAACAUUGCAUUCUCUAUAAAUGUGCUUCAGAGACACAGAUUGAAACUAAGCAAGCAGGUUUUUGCAGCAAGAGAUAAGGGAGCCAAGGCCCAAGGGGAUGCAAGGAUAUAUCACUGAAGAUGUGUAGCCAAGCUAGCGGAAUGUAAUGAUAUUUUGAUUGCCCCUGAAGAUGUGUAGAAACUUUGUGGAUAUUUGUCAUUUAUAGUCGUCUAUAUACUUAUGGAGGCCCUUCCCUAGGAGAUUCUUUUCAUUUCCUCAUUUUAAUGGAUCAUCCGGGAGACCCAUUUUUCAUCAAA